AGUAGGACAUAAAACUCAGUGGUAUAUUUAGAGAAGAAAUUUUCCAAACUUUUUCAUUGUGCAAGAAUUAUUGAAACUUGGUUCAAAAUAAAAAUGAAUAAUUUUCGUGUUUUUUUUAUUUUAAUUGCCAUUAGCAUUAUUGCUGAGGUUUAUUGUGAAUCCGAUUCUUGGCUAGAGUAAAAUAUUCGAAGAAUCAAAUGAAGCAAACGUUGAGAACAAUUAUUGUUUAAUUUAAUGAUAUGACCACCUAAUGGAAUUGUUAUAAAUUGGUUUUAUUUUAUAACACAUUUGUAAAGCCAUUUUUUUUGUCAAAACCUCAAUAAACAUGUACAAUUGAAAAA